CUGUAAUCCCAGCUACUCCGGAGGCUGAGGCAGGAGAAUUGCCUGAACCCAGGAGGCGGAGGUUGCGGUGAGCCGAGAUCGCGCCAUUGCACUCCAGCCUGGGUAACAAGAGCGAAACUCCGUCUCAAAAAAAAAAAAAAAAACCGAGAAAUCUGAGAUUCAGAUUAGAUUACUCAUACAAAGCCAGGCAGCCAAUGCAAAGUGAAGCCUUAAUGAGCUGUCAGUGUUGUUACUCUAAUUCUCUCCACAGAGUUCCAUCGAGUAUCCUUGCAGCGCCGCCCUCAGGACUCCGAGCAGUUUCCGAGGCGUUGGAGUUGGGCUGGGGAUCCCGGGUCGCGAGACGCGCGGGCCCUUAGGCUGAAAAUGGUGGACGAAGGGAAGGAUACUUCAGUCAGGGUAGGGAGGAAGGGCACUCGGUGACCAGAAACCUUUUCCAGGACCAUAUUGUUAAAGCAAAUCUCACCUCUUGUCUUCGGGAAACGAUGGAGACAGAAUCCAGAAGCCUGAGGAGCCUAGGAAUAUGAGCCCAAAGAAUGAAGGAAUGAGAAGAAGGGGAAAAAAAGUUACUUCUCGCAUUACUGUCACCUUGCAAGUCCUCGCAGUUUCAUGUUUUCCUAAACUGUUUUAUUAUGAAACUGUCCUUUUUCAUUAUCAAGUAUGGGAUGCUUCACUCAUCUUAAUCAAAAUGCAUUGUUGUCAUCAUAAGGAAUUCCAGAUCAUCAAAAUAAUUUGCAAUAAGGUAUGAAUGACCUCAUAGGCAUUUCAGGCUAUUUGCACCUUAAAGUAGCAUGGAAAUCAGCCCCAAAGAAUCUUUUCGUUUCAUUUGUUCAUUUCAGGCAAUAUGAUAAAACUGAAAAAUUUUACAAAUGUCAGGAAAACAAGCUCUAGUGUCUGGGACCCAACUCAUACACCUUCCCAGCUUGUAGCUAUGCUCCUGAAGUAAAUGUUCUGACUUUUCACAUAUUAUUCUUUUACUAAAAGCUCUGCAUUGCAGAGAAGAUAUCCCUGGAACUUCAGUAUCCAGAAAUCCUUUAGUGAAGCUGCUCCCUUCACUAGGUUCCUCUGUUUAAAAGUGUUGUUAGUACGUGGGGUAAUUGUAAGCCCAAGAACGAAUCAAAAAAUAAAGGGGAACUCUGAGAUCUAAAUUUAAGUCUC
rnacentral:lncRNA from 13 species